rnacentral:lncRNA from 1 species
GGGACUUGAGGAAAGGCAGUGGAUGUGUAACAGUUUAGAAAUCGGAGGAAAAACAUUAUAAACACACUUGAAGAUACAUGCUAAGACAUAACACAUAUGAUAAACUAGUUUUCGGAUAGGAGAGGUAGAAAACAUAUGUGAAACUACCCAGAGGUGUAAAAGAACGUGUAAGUAUAUUAAUUUUGAACUAUAGUUUUGAAAAUUGCAGAAGAUAUAGUAUCCAGAUAAGUUUUAGAAAAUAGUAGUCCAGUUCUGGACUGGGAAGAAGAGUAACUCAGUAAAAAACUUUUGCACAGAAGUGAUUGAAAAUAGGGCAGAAGUUUAGUAUAAAAAACCAGCGGACUUCAGAGAGACAAACAAAUUCAAACGGUUUAGAGAGGUGGGGAUAGAUUAAGCAUGACUUGAGGCGAUUUAUCCAACCUAAGGUUUUCCUAGGCGUUGUUUAAGAGAAAUUGAACAUGCGUGUUUGUUUCCCCAGUUUUAAAAGGAACCUGUUAACCAGUUUCACAUCCGUUUAACAAAAUUAGUGAGGCAUUCAACAGUUGCAGAUAAAAAACCCUAAGUACAUGAUAUCUAAUGCAUAUAAAGGCCCUAAAACAUGGUAUCUAACUGCAAUGGCAGUAACUAAAUUAUUUACUAAUUGUGAUUAUAAAAAUAGGCAAAAUAACAAGCUGAAAGUAAAAGACCUAAGAAUAGGAUUGCUAUAUGUAAGAUCCACGUCCUAAACAUGAUUUCUAUUGCCCAAAUAGGUAAGUAGAUUCAUAUAAACAUGUUUUCUAACCAUGCCCUUAAUAAUCAUGCAUAACCCUCCCCAAUUUAACUGUAAUCCCCAUUAUUCUUUACAAGUUAUUACAGACCAAAUAAUUUAAAAAUACAACAUAGAUAAAAAAAAAAUAAGAAGCCAUUCUAUAGGGAGCCCACAGCCAUGCCCAAGAUCUCGAAACUCACUUCUUUCGAGUUUCAC